UAUUAAGUGGCCGACUUACAAGCACUAGACUUUUAAUCUAGAUUAUGAUUAUAUUUUAAUCCUUAAUAA
rnacentral:tRNA from 1 species